AUUGAACGCUGGCGGCAGGCUUAACACAUGCAAGUCGAGCGGGGUGAUGGUGCUUGCACUAUCACUUAGCGGCGGACGGGUGAGUAAUGCUUAGGAAUCUGCCUAUUAGUGGGGGACAACAUCUCGAAAGGGAUGCUAAUACCGCAUACGUCCUACGGGAGAAAGCAGGGGAUCACUUGUGACCUUGCGCUAAUAGACGAGCCUAAGUCGGAUUAGCUAGUUGGUGGGGUAAAGGCCUACCAAGGCGACGAUCUGUAGCGGGUCUGAGAGGAUGAUCCGCCACACUGGGACUGAGACACGGCCCAGACUCCUACGGGAGGCAGCAGUGGGAAAUAUUGGACAAUGGGGGGAACCCUGAUCCAGCCAUGCCGCGUGUGUGAAGAAGGCCUUAUGGUUGUAAAGCACUUUAAGCGAGGAGGAGGCUCUUUUGGUUAAUGCCCAAGAUGAGUGGACGUUACUCGCAGAAUAAGCACCGGCUAACUCUGUGCCAGCCGCCGCCGUAA
rnacentral:rRNA from 1 species